AGAUUAUUUAGGUGUGAGCCACAGCACCCGGCCCAGACAUUGUUUGAAGUCACCCACUUCAUGGUUCUUUGCUGUAGGGGUUGUGGAAUAUGAAUGCGCUCGUGCUGUUGGUUGGACUUUGCUGACCUUGUGUCUGUUAUUUCCUGGCAAGUUCUACAGGGCCUGGAGCUGGUACGAAAAACCUCCCUUCUUCCCCAAGUGAUUCCCAGCUUCCACAUUCACUGAAGGCCCUGUAAUCAAGAACAGUCAGGACUUUGCAUCCAGUUGCUGUGGGUAUUGGGCCGACCCUUCCUCUUGCGUGAUCCAUCGAUCCGCAGCAUUGCAUCACCUGGGAGCUUUUGGAAUUGAAGACUUUCCGGGCUCACCCGGGAGGACUUGCUGGGCCACAAUCUGCAUUUUAACAAGAUGCCCAGGAAAGAAUGUCCUGGAGGAAAACAGAGACUCCCUGUGACCUGGAGCUUCACAAGCUUAGCCCCUUCCAGGAGCCAUGGAGGAGCUGGGGCAUUGGGAAAGUCUUGGGGGAUACUAGGAAGGAACCUGCCUGACUUGCUGUCAGUGUUUAGAGAAUUGAAGGAGCUGAUGAUUGUGGAACCUGCUGGACAUUUUCUGAAGCCAGGUACUGGGUUCAACAUGGUGUAUAGUUAUCUCAAGGCACUGGUUCUCAGCUGAGGGUGAAUUUGCCCCCCAGCAGGCACUUGGCAGGGUCUGGAGAUAUUUCUGGUUGUUACAAUGGGAGAAGGGGUGCCAAUGGCAUCCAUCUAGUUGGUAGAGGACAGGAAAGCCGAUAACAUCCCACAGUGCUCAGAACAACCCCAUGCAAUACAGAAUGAUCCUGCCCUAAAUGUCAAUAGAGCUGAGGUUAAGAAGCCUUUUUCUUGGUUUGUGGGUGGAGGGCAGGGUCUCACUGCGUCACCCAGGUUGGAGGGCAGUGGCACAGUCAUAACCCACUGCAGCCUU